GGGAUUGUAGCUCAGUGGUAAGAGUGCUUGCCUAGCACGCAUGAUGCACUGGGUUCGACCCUCAGCACCA
rnacentral:tRNA from 1 species